AAUAAUAAAGCAACAUCAUGAGUCGAUACAUUUCCCAAGGAAUUGAAUAUUCUCAUUGUUAAACAAAAGAAAUUGCUAAAACUAAAACUGAUACGUCACAACUUUUAUGAUCCCAAAAAUGCUAUUUAAACAAAACAAAAAGUCCAAAACCAUCCACCAAUAUAAAGAAAAUUAAUUAAUGAUGCUAUAUUAAUGAAACAAAAAUAAAUUUCUUGUCAUAAGUAAUGGGCCAGAGGAUUAGAAGAAAAGUCACAUGUGUGCUUGUUGCACCAGAAGUACUCGCAAAUUAAAUAAAAAGCAAAAAAAAAAAAAAGUGGUCACAGAGAAUUAAAUGCCUAUCUAGAUUAAUAAUGAAGUGUUUACUGGCUGUAUUAUUGCUUCCAUAAUUGGGGGAAGUUUGAUUAUGUGUAGCUGCUAA
rnacentral:lncRNA from 1 species